GUCCCGUUCAUCUAUUGGCUAAGAUACCGGCCUUUCAAGCCGGCAAAGAGGGAUCGAAACCCUCACGGGACACCA
rnacentral:tRNA from 1 species